ACCCUUCGUCAGGACUAUCUGAAGGAAGAGUGCAGAUUCAACUUCUUGACUGGACUUCCAGACUCAAUCAAGUUUCAUGUACACUUAAAGAAUGUGGGAGGAACCCAAAGUCCCCAGAGAAACCAAUGCUGCCAAAGGGACAAACUCCUC